rnacentral:misc_RNA from 1 species
UGCAGGAUCAACCAGGUAGCAUUCCUAAACGGACAUCGGGCCGCAAGGCGCUGACGCCAGUGCGACGCCGAUCGUCGUUCGAAUGUGGAUUGGGACGUUAGUCGUGGGCUAACGGAGGUCGACGACCCCGUGCCCCCCGCGUGUUCCGCAUCCCCGAGCCCGAGCGAGGAGUCGUGGGCCGCGACGGCACGCCGUUCGCGUGCGCCGGGGAACGCGAAUCUCGCUUCGGAGUUCGCCCGAAGCCACGCCGUUUCGUGUGAACGGGCGGCCGCGGGCGAACGAGGGAAGUUUGCCGACCGAAUUCCGUCGUAGUAGGUAUGCAGCACGGGAAACCGAGGGAACGACCAAGGCGACGUCGCACUUGGGCCGAUCAAUGAAGUGGAUUGCACGGUCGGACGUCGCUGCGCUGGGCAGGGAUCCAACCAACCCAUACAAGA